rnacentral:lncRNA from 1 species
AUCUCCCUGGAGAUCCCUGCCUACUUGAGGCCUUCUGAAGUAUUUCAGCAGCUGGAGCCUCACAGGAGCUAUCGCUGUCUGGCUGACACAGAGGCACCAUUCUGGCGGAGAGGUCUCACCAUCCCUGCCGGGGUCUGAGGAAUUCUCAGAUGUUACCUCAGUGUGGGCACCCUAUGGCAUCCCUGCUCUGCCUUGGUAGGUGGGUCUCCUGGUACUGCUUUCUAUAUGAAAAGCUUGCACUUCCCAGCUGAAGUCCAGAUGCUGCAUUUAUGGUGGUAUAUUGUCCUGAUCAAUUUUUAAAAAACAUUUUCCUAUCUGUGAAAUUAAUGGGUGCCUGGAGAAAUAGCAGCUCCUCCCUGCUCCUGCCAAUGCUAACCUUUCCCAGAUGGGAAGAGACUUCUCCUUCCCUUUAUUUACCUGCAAGAUAUCCUCGCUAGUGCUCAGAACCACAAAAGGAGAGGAAAAAUAAUAAAACCUCUGUAAGUGGAAAGCAUUACCAACAGAACAACUGCGCCUACUCCAGCUGAGCACUGCCUUCCCAGGCUCCAUUACAGUGACUAAGCCCUGCAUAAUCUUCCCGGGGUCACAGAGUGAGCCAUUAGCAAGACAGCGCUAAGACAGAGGCAUCCUGAAUUUUGUAACUGCACUGAUUACUUUAAGACCCCAAUUUAAAAGGCCAUAGGUUUGUACUGGCAGCACAGUCAUACAGAUAGCUACUUACAGCCUUACAAAUUGGUUUUCUUGCAAUCAUCAUCUUGCUACUAUGUGCUGGCAGCGGUUUUUGUUAUGUUUUGUCUCUUUCACUUGUCUGUGUGCUGCUGACCAUUAUUUGUGUUGUGAUUGGCUGCGAAAAGAUGAAGGAAGGCUGAGAGGAGAGGAGCCUCACCCUGUCCUGGUGCUCCUGCAGCAGGCCGUGCUGCUGCACUGGUCAACAUUGCCUCCAUCUCUCAGCAUUGCUUUCCCAUGUGUGUGAAUGCACCCACUGGGUAGCCCAGGAGGGUGUACUGGGCUGCCUGAUCCAACCAGCCACCAUCUUGUGUGGGUUAUGAAGGCUGCUUCAGUGGGCAUCAAAAUGAAUGUUCGUACUUCAUUCUGUGUCCUGGAUGGACUCUUUACGUGCACUAUUUGUAAUGUCUCAGACCUCAGCUCUCAAAGGCUGAUAAUCACUCAGGUGGAUGGACUUCAAAAGGCAAUGCCUCCAUAGAGAACACCUCUGGCUGUCUCGGUUGACACCUUCUUACCAUAGGCAUAGUGGAAAAGCUGCACAGGCUUACAACAGAUUAAUAAAAAGAAAUAUUUGCUUCUGUAUUAGAAAAAUACGCAUUGCACUUUAUAUCUUUUUUUUUUUUAGCAAUGUUUCCUUUCCCUUUAAUUUUUUCUUCCCAGUAAGAUGGACCCAGGUGUCAUUGCGUUGUUGUAACAUGCACAGUAAUUUCAGAUGAUUAAUACUGCGACACC